UCGGGAAUUUUGGGCAAUGGGCGCAAGCCUGACCCAGCAACGCCGCGUGAGGGAUGAAGGCCUUCGGGUCGUAAACCUCUGUCGGGAGGGACGAAUGAUCGGCGGGCGAACAGUCCGACGGUCUGACGGUACCUCCAAAGGAAGCGCCGGCUAACUCCGUGCCAGCAGCCGCGGUAAUACGGAGGGCGCAAGCGUUGUUCGGAAUCACUGGGCGUAAAGCGCGUGUAGGCGGCUUGGCAAGUCGGAUGUGAAAUCCCGGGGCCCAACCCCGGAACUGCAUUCGAUACUGCCUCGCUCGAGUCCCGGAGGGGAAGGCGGAAUUCCCGGUGUAGAGGUGAAAUUCGUAGAUAUCGGGAAGAACACCAGCGGCGAAGGCGGCCUUCUGGACGGUGACUGACGCUGAGACGCGAAAGCGUGGGGAGCAAACAGGAUUAGAUACCCCCGUAGUCC
rnacentral:rRNA from 1 species